AAUAGAUACCCAGGUAAUCCACGCCGUAAACGAUGGAUGCUAGCUGUUAGGAGUAUCGACCCUCCUAGUAGCGUAGCUAACGCGUUAAGCAUCCCGCCUGUGGAGUACGGUCGCAAGACUAAAACAUAAAGGAAUUGACGGGGACCCGCACAAGCGGUGGAGCGUGUUGUUUAAUUCGAUGGUAAGCGAAGAACCUUACCCAGGCUUGACAUCCUGCUAAUCACUCCGAAAGGAGAGAGUGCCCUCGGGCCGCAGUGACAGGUGUUGCAUGGCCGUCGUCAGCUCGUGUCGUGAGAUGUUUGGUUAAGUCCAUCAACGAGCGCAACCCUUAUAGUUAGUUGUAUUUCUCUAGCUAGACUGCCCUGGCAACAGGGAGGAAGGAGGGGAUGAUGUCAGGUCAGUAUUACCCUUACGCCUGGGGCUACAAACACGCUACAAUGGCCGGUACAAAGGGCAGCCAACCCGCGAGGGGGAGCAAAUCCCAUCAAAGCCGGUCUCAGUUCGGAUUGCAGGCUGAAACUCGCCUGCA
rnacentral:rRNA from 1 species